rnacentral:rRNA from 1 species
GUGCACCAGGCGAGAAACUUCACACUGUGCGAAAGCACGAUGAGGGAAUCCCAAGUGCUUGCACGUAAGUGUAAGCUGUUUCUCUGUCUAAAACGCAGAGAGAGUAAGGGCUGGGUAAGACGGGUGCCAGCCGCCGCGGUAAUACCUGCAGCUCAAGUGGUGACCGUUAUUAUUGGGCCUAAAACGUCCGUAGCCGGUUUAAUAAAUGCCUGGGUAAAUUGUGUAGCUUAACUAUACGAAUUCCGGGUAGACUGUUAAACUUGAGACCGGGAGAAGUUAGAGGUACUCCUGGGGUAGAGGUGAAAUUCUGUAAUCCUAGGGGGACCACCAGUGGCGAAGGCGUCUAACUAGAACGGGUCUGACGGUGAGGGACGAAGGCCCUGGGGCGCAAACGGGAUUAGAUACCCCGGUAGU